rfam:Rattus norvegicus chromosome 11, whole genome shotgun sequence.
GGGGAUUUGGCUCAGUGGUAGAGCGCUUGCCUAGGAAGCGCAAGGCCCUGGGUUCGAUCCCCAGCUCCG